AAUAAGUGCAGUUUUGCACUAUUCACGUUCAACGUUUGACUGUUCGUCUUAUUUGAAAUUUUUUUAUGAUUAGUAUUUUUAUUGCUAUUAGAUGAUAAAACAUAAAUAGUACUUUAUGUGUGACUAAUUUUUUCAUUAAUUUUUCAAAUAAGACGGACGGUCAAACGUUGGACACGGAUAUCCACGGCUGCACUUAUU
rnacentral:pre_miRNA from 1 species